rnacentral:sRNA from 1 species
CGACGUACACAAGGGGCUUGAGCGUUCUGUGGAGAGAGUGCGAGGUCAGGCCAUGAACUUGGGAGAUGGUUUAAAGCUUGAAACUGAAUUACUGGAUGGAAAAACCAAGCUAAUAUUGUCUCCAUAUGAACAUAAAUCAAAAAUUUCUGUGAAGUUAUAAAGAAUAAGCUUCUGGUGUUUUAACAGAUGGGAAAUAAGGCCAAGAUUGCAAAAUGUCCUUUAAGAACAAAAACUGGGCACAUUCUAAAAUCAACACAGGAUACUUGUAUUGGGAGUGAAAAACUUUUGCAAAAGAAGCCAGUUGGUUCAGAAACAUCACAGGCAAAAGGUGAAAAAAAUGGAAUGACUUUUUCAUCCACUAAGGAUUUAUGUAAACAAUGUAUAGAUAAAGACUGUCUUCAUAUCCAGAAAGAGAUUUCACCUGCAACCCCUAAUAUGCAGAAGACUAGAAACACCAUAAAUACAUCUCUAGUAGGUAAACAGAAGCCUCACAAAAAACACAUCACAGCUGAAAACAUGAAGAGCAGUUUGGUGUGUCUAACACAAGACCAACUACAACAGAUUUUGAUGACUGUAAACCAAGGAAAUAGAUCUCUUUCCCUGACUGAGAAUGGAAAGGAGGCAAAAA